GUUAAAAAGCUCGUAGUUGGAUUUCUGCGAGGGUGCCAUGUCCGCCGACGCGCGUGCGCAGCGGCGCCCUCGCAUCCUUCUGUUACCACCUCUCGGCAUUCACUUGCCGGUGGUCGGCUCAGAGAAUUUACCUUGAGAAAAUUAGAGUGUUUCAGGCAGGCUAGGCCGGAAUACAUUAGCACGGAAUAAUGGAAUAGGACUACGGUCUCGUUGUUGGUUUGAGGGACUGCAGUAAUGAUUAAUAGGGAUAGUUGGGGGCAUUAGUAUUUAAUUGUCAGAGGUGAAAUUCUCGGAUUUGUUAAAGACUAACUUAUGC
rnacentral:rRNA from 1 species